CUUUUGUCCACACACAAAGCAGCUUCUUUUUAUCGUGGUAUCUCCGUUUCAUUUUGCCAAAUCAACACACUUGAACAUAAAGGAGCAGUUCAACAUUUGGGAGAUGUGUGACUCCUGAUCUUCCUCUUCAGUGCACGACUCUUAAUGAGAACAGGAGAGAUCAGCUGACUCACCUAGAGGUUUCCCCGUCAGUGGAUGGAGGAAGGUGUGAGGUGUUGGUGAAGGCGAUAGGACCGGGGCGGGAGGAGGAAGCUCUCCGAGGUCAUCCAUCGAAUGGCUCUGAGUCAGGAGGGGCGGGGCCUGGUUUUCUGACCCUGCCCCCUCAACAGACAGGAAGAGAGACGACCGGCGGCCCUGAACCCGAGCGCGCUCUGAAAGAACUUGCUGCUGGUACAACUCCGCCCUGCUGGGGCUGCCGGGCCCGCCUCCAUCUGAUUUGGACGAAUCGUGAUCUUUGAUUCCAAGUACUAGAAGAAAAAAACACAAAAGGCACUCAAGAAACUCGACACACAAAGAUGACACGUCUGAACCAUCCUAACCCUGCUCCUCUACAGGAAGUUGUUUCAACAAUGGCGACUUCCUCCUCUGUGGUUUGGUGGGUGGAGCCUGCUGUCCCACGUUAGCAUAAGGGUUUUCUAUUGGUCGACCCCGGCGGCGUGACAGCGGAUGAUCAUCGACCUCGCCUUCCUCUGCCGCUCGGCGUGGGCGUGGCUCCUCGCCGGCGAAUCGGAUAGCUCCUGGAGCCUUGGCUCUGCCCCCGGCUUGAAGCUGGAGCGGGUC